GGCCUACCAAGGCGACGAUCAGUAGCCGGCCUGAGAGGGUGAACGGCCACACUGGGACUGAGACACGGCCCAGACUCCUACGGGAGGCAGCAGUGGGGAAUCUUCCGCAAUGGACGAAAGUCUGACGGAGCAACGCCGCGUGUAUGAUGAAGGUCUUCGGAUUGUAAAGUACUGUCUUUGGGGAAGAAUGACUGAUUUGAAAAUAUUGAGUCAGUAUGACGGUACCCAAGGAGGAAGCCCCGGCUAACUACGUGCCAGCAGCCGCGGUAAUACGUAGGGGGCAAGCGUUGUCCGGAAUUAUUGGGCGUAAAGGGCGCGUAGGCGGAUUUUUAAGUCUGGUGUGGAAAACCUAGGA
rnacentral:rRNA from 1 species